GUACACUCCUGCGGGAGGCAGCAGUGGGGAAUAUUGCACAAUGGGCGCAAGCCUGAUGCAGCCAUGCCGCGUGUAUGAAGAAGGCCUUCGGGUUGUAAAGUACUUUCAGCGGGGAGGAAGGCAAUACGGUUAAUAACCGUGUUGAUUGACGUUACCCGCAGAAGAAGCACCGGCUAACUCCGUGCCAGCAGCCGCGGUAAUACGGAGGGUGCAAGCGUUAAUCGGAAUUACUGGGCGUAAAGCGCACGCAGGCGGUCUGUCAAGUCGGAUGUGAAAUCCCCGGGCUCAACCUGGGAACUGCAUUCGAAACUGGCAGGCUUGAGUCUUGUAGAGGGGGGUAGAAUUCCAGGUGUAGCGGUGAAAUGCGUAGAGAUCUGGAGGAAUACCGGUGGCGAAGGCGGCCCCCUGGACAAAGACUGACGCUCAGGUGCGAAAGCGUGGGGAGCAAACAGGAUUAGAAACCCCAGUAGUCCCA
rnacentral:rRNA from 1 species